CGCCGUCACGCCGACUGGGCAAGCAGACUUCUCGUCUCUCACCACCGUCGCCGCCGGCGAAGCCGAAGGUGGCGGAGGAGGAGGCUGGUAGAUCCCGGCCCCCUCGGCGGCCGCCGUAGAAGCUUCCAAACGCAGAAGUUGGAAGGAGAUCCUUCGGACUCCGAUCUCUAGGGUUUCUUUCAGCUCUCUUCACCAGAAUCUACCAUCAAGCUCCAUGACGACACAAAUAGCAAGAAAACCAAAGAAAAGAGAGUAAUUCGCAAGCUUUUUCCCCUUAGCUAUAUCUUCUCGCCUUGUCCUCACGACCGGAGUACCGCCGAUAUCGUCACGGCCGUCCUUACCAGAAGGAGAAGAAGAAGAAGAAUAGUUGAACUAGAAGGAAAGCGAACGGGGAUGAAUUAUUAUCAAUAAUAUAAUUAUUUGUUAUUAUAUAUUGCAAAUGUAAUGUAAGCAGGAAGAGGGAAAAAAGAAAAACGAGAAAUAUAAUAUAAAAAAUCAAAAUGGGCGGCUAUUGGCGAAGGGAAACGACGGGUUCUUAUAUGUAUGAUUUUUUAUUAUGGAAGGAAUUAUGUGAGCAAUGAGAUGGGUAGCUUCUUUGGAA